rnacentral:rRNA from 1 species
CACGUAGUUAGCCGGGGCUUCUUAGUCAGGUACCGUCAUUUUCUUCCCUGCUGAUAGAGCUUUACAUACCGAAAUACUUCAUCGCUCACGCGGCGUCGCUGCAUCAGGGUUUCCCCCAUUGUGCAAUAUUCCCCACUGCUGCCUCCCGUAGGAGUCUGGGCCGUGUCUCAGUCCCAAUGUCGGCCGUCCACCCUCUCAGGCCGGCUACUGAUCGUCGGCUUGGUGGCCAUUACCCCACCAACUACCUAAUCAGACGCGGGUCCAUCUUACACCACCUCAGUUUUUACCACUGUACCAUGCAGUACUGUGGUCUUAUGCGGUAUUAGCAGUCAUUUCUAACUGUUACUCCCCCUGUGUAAGGCAGGUUACCCACGCGUUACUCACCCGUCCGCCGCUCAGUACAACAAAACGUCUUCCUUCCGAAGACUUCU